AUGUUUUGCAGUAAUAUCUUUCCAAUUUCAUAGAAUGUAGUGCACGGUGAUAUUACAGCUGAUAAUCUCUUGGUAGUUGCUUUUGGGAUUGUGAAGAUUGGUGAUUUUAGUGUUAGUCAGGUUGUUAAGAUUGUUAAUAACCCCUUGUAUAUCCCUAAUGGAAUGCAUUCCCCUGCUAAAGGACUUGAUUGAGGGGCUUUUCUACAAAGCUAUAUGAUAGAAGAAGAGUGAACAACAACUGAUGGCAGCAUCAUUUUGUUUUGGGAAUUUUAGUUGUGCAUCAAUUCUGCCGUUAGUUGCUCCUCCAUACAUAGAGAUACCAUGCAAAAAGCCCAGCCUAAAUGGAUGUGUAAUCAACUACAAUUGCUGAUGUAUUCUAACCUGUUGUAUAAUACAUGUGCUGUUCAACUGCUUAUCUUUUAAGGUAAACAAUUAUGUUAAAAAUUACAAAGCAUUAGCAUAUUAACAAACAUUUUGUUGCUUUUGUACUCCAUUAAAUGCCUGUUGAUUGGACAUUGCCAUGUGAGAGAGGCUUCUAUCUACAACAACUACUGCUUUGAGCAAUGUUAAGCUUUUAAAUAAAAGUAAAUCUGCAUUGACUGCUUGGCAGUGGCAGCAUUCCUUUUAUUUUUGUCUCAUAUACAGUAAUUUCUACUCUCUAAGCAAAUGUUACCAACUAGCAGUUGGGGGAAUAUUAGCUAUCGAUUGGAUUAUGGUUAGAGUAAAUGAGGUUUCUAAGAUUAAAUUACUCCAUUACUCCCCAGGUACAUAACAAAGUAGAACCUGUGAAUGUCAGUUUGCAAUUUUGAAUUAGUAUUAUACACUUGGAGAGUGGAUAUGAUUUACUUUGACAUGAAACGGGUAACUUUUUGUUAGUAGUAUCAUACAUGUUGUGUCAACCUUUUUUGCCGCUAACAUAACAUUCUGCUACAAGGUUUCAGGAGCCUUGUCCUUGCCACAUCCUAAUAGUAUUUUGAAAUCAUGUAACGAGUGUUUAGAGAAGCAACAAUAAGAAAUAGAUAAGAAGCUGAAAUGAAACAGGGGAUAGUAUGGAGCAUUUCUGUCCUUGAUAAGGCUCUGUAGUAGUUUUGCUAAAAGGUCCAAGUUCUCUGUAGGACUUGUUACCUGACAUAUUUUAGUUUUGCUCAUAGCAUGUUGAGCUUCCUCUUGAAUUUGUUCAUGAGCGACUCAAAACAAAGACAUUUCUGAUGCAUAUCAAAUUAGUGCAAACACAAUUAGCAGAUGUAAGGUAGCACUACACAGUGAUAUAGUAUUCUGCGACUAAUGACAUUUCCACUUCUGUCCAGUUAGCAAGUAGCGCAAAAAAUGACUCUCACUUUGCCAUCAAGCUAAGAUUGUGGAGCUCAACUCCAAGUACAUGAACACUCAAUUGAACUUGUAAUACACAUUUGUCUUUUCCUAAAAGCAAAUUGCUGGAAAACUCAUGACUGCAAGAGAAGCGAAUGGUUCUUUAAAAGUUUGUCCUUGACUUGCUAAAAAGUUCGAUGAUACAGAUAAUGUAGAAGGAGAUGACUCUUAAAAUAUGGACAGCUACUCCACCAAGAAAACAAGAUUAAGCUGAAUUCAUACUAUUCAACUUUUGUACAACUCGAACUUGAUACUUUUUGCCUUCUUGAUUUGCCAUUCUGGAUUUGGCAUAUUGCUUAGAACUUUUUGAAUGGAUUAUUGCUAUAUCUAUGAAUUGUGUACAUUUGUGUGUGGUUAUCCAUUAGGCGACUUUUGUAGCAGAGGUUGAACUAUGUUUGGUCUCAACUUUGUAUCAAUUCGUUCAGAGGACUUUGCUCCACCUCGAUUA